CCUACGGGAGGCAGCAGUGAGGAAUAUUGGUCAAUGGGCGGGAGCCUGAACCAGCCAAGUCGCGUGAGGGAAGACGGUCCUAUGGAUUGUAAACCUCUUUAGGCGGGGAGCAAUGCCGGGCACGUGUGCCCGGAGGGAGAGUACCCGCAGAAUAAGCAUCGGCUAACUCUGUGCCAGCAGCCGCGGUAAUACAGAGGUCUCAAGCGUUGUUCGGAAUCACUGGGCGUAAAGCGUGCGUAGGCUGUUUCGUAAGUCGUGUGUGAAAGGCGUGGGCUCAACCCGCGGACGGCACAUGAUACUGCGAGACUAGAGUAAUGGAGGGGGAACCGGAAUUCUCGGUGUAGCAGUGAAAUGCGUAGAUAUUAGGAGGAACACCAGUGGCGAAGGCGGCUUACUGGACUGUAACUGACGUUGAGGCUCGAAAGCGUGGGGAGCAAACAGGAUUAGAUACCCCUGUAGUC
rnacentral:rRNA from 1 species